GACGAACGCUGGCGGCGUGCCUAAUACAUGCAAGUUGAGCGCUGAAGGUUGGUACUUGUACCAACUGGAUGAGCAGCGAACGGGUGAGUAACGCGUGGGGAAUCUGCCUUUGAGCGGGGGACAACAUUUGGAAACGAAUGCUAAUACCGCAUAAAAACUUUAAACACAAGUUUUAAGUUUGAAAGAUGCAAUUGCAUCACUCAAAGAUGAUCCCGCGUUGUAUUAGCGAGUUGGUGAGGUAAAGGCUCACCAAGGCGAUGAUACAUAGCCGACCUGAGAGGGUGAUCGGCCACAUUGGGACUGAGACACGGCCCAAACUCCUACGGGAGGCAGCAGUAGGGAAUCUUCGGCAAUGGACGAAAGUCUGACCGAGCAACGCCGCGUGAGUGAAGAAGGUUUUCGGAUCGUAAAACUCUGUUGGUAGAGAAGAACGUUGGUGAGAGUGGAAAGCUCAUCAAGUGACGGUAACUACCCAGAAAGGGACGGCUAACUACGUG
rnacentral:rRNA from 1 species